UGGUGCAUGGCCGUCGUCAGUUCGCACUGUGAAGCAUCCUGUUAAGUCAGGCAACGAGCGAGACCCACGCCCACAGUUGCCAGCGUACUCUCCGGAGUGACGGGUACACUGUGGGGACCGCCGCUGCUAAAGCGGAGGAAGGAAUGGGCAACGGUAGGUCAGUAUGCCCCGAAUAUCCCGGGCUACACGCGAGCUACAAUGGUUGGUACAAUGGGUAUCUACCCCGAAAGGGGACGGGAAUCUCCUAAAACCAAUCUUAGUUCGGAUUGAGGGCUGCAACUCGCCCUCAUGAAGCUGGAAUCCGUAGUAAUCGCGUUUCAACAGAACGCGGUGAAUACGUCCCUGCUCCUU
rnacentral:rRNA from 1 species